rnacentral:rRNA from 1 species
GACGAACCGAGCGAGCGUUGUUCGGAAUUACUGGGCGUAAAGCGUGCGUAGACGGUUAUGUAAGUCGGGUGUGAAAGCCCCGGGCUCAACCUGGGAAUGCCAUUCGAGACUGCAUAGCUAGGGUGCGGAAGAGGGAAGCGGAAUUUCCGGUGUAGCGGUGAAAUGCGUAGAUAUCGGAAGGAACACCAGUGGCGAAAGCGGCUUCCUGGUCCAGCACCGACGUUCAGGCACGAAAGCGUGGGGAGCAAACAGG